UACGGAAGGGGCUAGCGUUGUUCGGGAUUACUGGGCGUAAAGAGCGCGUAGGCGGAUUACCAAGUUGGGGGUGAAAUCCCGGAGCUCAACUCCGGAACUGCCUUCAAAACUGGUAGGCUCGAGUCCGGAAGAGUGGCGUGGAAUUCCCAGUGUAGAGGUGAAAUUCGUAGAUAUUGGGAAGAACACCGGUGGCGAAGGCGGCUCCCUGGUCCGGUACUGACGCUGAGGCGCGAAAGCGUGGGGAGCAAACAGG
rnacentral:rRNA from 1 species